UCCCUCAAAUGCUUGCUGCUGUAGACCAGCAGCUCGAGAUGGAGUGGGUGCAAGCACAGCUCGAAUGGAGGGGUGUACCAACAAAGGGUACAAGGUGACAGCGUUCAAACGAUGUCUGCUCCAGGGGACACCCAGUUUUUAGAGGAGGAGGAGGAAGAGGAACUUGACCUGCCCGACUGGUUUGGGGACCUUGUUGAAUGUGGCAAUGAGUUGCUCAAAUCAUGGAGCCAGAGCGGAGAAGGGGCGGGAAUCCAGGGCGCACAGCCACAAAGACAAGCGGCGACUUGUCUAGCCCC